UGCUGUUGUGGAAUCGGCAGAUCCAGGCAUCAGUAUAACGUGCAGCAUGCCUACACACGGAGAGCCUGGUUUCGGUAAGAAGGGAUACAGUCCUUCCUGACAGAGAAAGCAUUGCAGCAGAGCAUCAGGGUCACUCUACACAGCCCUGGCUAUCCUGGAAUUCACUAGGUAGACCAGACCAGGCUAACUGCAAACUCACAGAGAUCCACUUGCCUCUGCCUCGUGAAUCCUGGGAUUAAAGGUUUCUGAUACCAACUCACUCUAGAAUUACAGAAAUCAAGGAAGGAUCUGCCAUUCUAAAAAUGUUUGUUUUCUACCAGUUUUCUCAAUGAUGUCAGAUCUCUCCUGAUGGCAGCACAGUUCAGAUGAGUUCAUAUAAUUGGUCUCUGACAGCGCUAGCUCAUGCCUCACUUACAGCUGUCCCAGUGCAGUGAGGCUCAAGACAGCCAUGCCCCAUUCAUGCCAUCAGACAAAGCCUACCACUUUGACUUUGUUCCACACCCACCCCUCCCUCUCCACGCACAUAUUGGUAACUAUAAAGUCAUGGAAAAACCAUGAAUGACAAGGGUCAAGCUUCUAUCUUACUUCUGAAAAUUAACAAGGGCCAAAGCCAUGCCAAGAGAAUCCCAAGCCAAAUGCUGCUUCCAAAAUGUCCAAAUAUUUACGGCUUGAUUUGAAAAAUCUAAAGAAAAGAUU
rnacentral:lncRNA from 1 species